rnacentral:lncRNA from 1 species
AAAUUAUGCAGAGAAUAUCAGCGUUUGUGUUUUGCUGUCCAACAUAAAUGUCAAAAUCCAUUGCAAAGAACUUUUUUGCUUUUUCCUAGUCAGUGGUAAUGAUGGUACUGCCUUCCUCCUCCUUUUCCCUCAUUUGUCUGCCUCACUGAUUUAUAUUAUUUAGCUUGCAGAGUUCUGUUGAUUAAUCUUAGUUGCUACAGUGCCUAGCACAGUUGGAUCUUGUGGUGCUACUGUAUGACAGCCUUUAUUGUACUAGAACUUCCUAGCAAGGCAGCCACUGGUUUUGAAACUUACUUUUGUUGUUGUUACACCAGAAGCCCAAUUUGGGGUGUUGUUUGUGCACUUUGUCGUUUGAACUUCUGACUUGGUCAGUCAACAGCAGCAUCCAUGAAAAUAGCUUAGUCAGGAAAAGAAUUUUAUUUUUAUUGGAUACACGUCUUUAUGCAGAAGUCUUAAAACAAAAUCGUAAUACAAAUCUGUUAUAAUCCCCAUUUCUAGGAACUAUUCUGUAUAUGCUACAGGUGUGAGGAGUUUUCUCAAUCUCUGCAAGAUCCACCUCAUCUAAACCUGAAACUGUUUGUGUAAUUUCUAAAAUCCAGUUAUGUCAUGCAUGAGGUGGAGUCUCAAUUGUGAUUACCUUGCUAGCAAAUCUUAAAUAAUCUAAUAAAAAUAGCACUUUUAGUAAGCUCUCCUCUUUU